rnacentral:rRNA from 1 species
GACGAACGCUGGCGGCGCGCCUAACACAUGCAAGUCGAACGAGAGAUGAAGAGCUUGCUCUUCAAAUCGAGUGGCGAACGGGUGAGUAACGCGUGAGGAACCUGCCUCAAAGAGGGGGACAACAGUUGGAAACGACUGCUAAUACCGCAUAAGCCCACGGCUCGGCAUCGAGCAGGGGGAAAAGGAGCAAUCCGCUUUGAGAUGGCCUCGCGUCCGAUUAGCUAGUUGGUGAGGUAAUGGCCCACCAAGGCGACGAUCGGUAGCCGGACUGAGAGGUUGAACGGCCACAUUGGGACUGAGACACGGCCCAGACUCCUACGGGAGGCAGCAGUGGGGAAUAUUGCACAAUGGGGGAAACCCUGAUGCAGCGACGCCGCGUGGAGGAAGAAGGUCUUCGGAUUGUAAACUCCUGUUGUUGGGGAAGAUAAUGACGGUAC